AACGAACGCUGGCGGCAGGCUUAACACAUGCAAGUCGAGCGCCCCGCAAGGGGAGCGGCAGACGGGAGAGUAACGCGUGGGAAUCUACCCAUCUCUACGGAAUAACGCAUGGAAACGUGUGCUAAUACCGUAUACGUCCUUCGGGAGAAAGAUUUAUCGGAGAUGGAUGAGCCCGCGUUGGAUUAGCUAGUUGGUGGGGUAAAGGCCUACCAAGGCGACGAUCCAUAGCUGGUCUGAGAGGAUGAUCAGCCACACUGGGACUGAGACACGGCCCAGACUCCUACGGGAGGCAGCAGUGGGGAAUAUUGGACAAUGGGCGCAAGCCUGAUCCAGCCAUGCCGCGUGAGUGAUGAAGGCCCUAGGGUUGUAAGCUCUUUCACCGGUGAAGAUAAUGACGGUAACCGGAGAAGAAGCCCCGGCUAACUUCGUGCCAGCCGCCGCUGUAACAC
rnacentral:rRNA from 1 species